AAAGUUUGACAUGUAUUUUAAGUGCAUAGCAAAUCAUCUUCUACGUAAUUGUAUGUAUAUCAUAUGAAUUUAAAGUAUGUGUAGUAUCAAUAUAAAUAUUUUAUAUAAAAUGAAAGAUGUAAAUUAAAAAUAUAAGGUUAAUUAUACAUAUGUUCGGUUAUCUUCGGAUAUCCAUUCGGGUUCGGAUAUUACCCGUUCGGGUUCGGAUAUCCAAUCUCUCCUAAUUUAAUAUCCGUUCGGAUAUUUUGCUACUUCGGUUCGGAUUUCGGUUCGGGUUUUUCGGAUCGGGUUCGGGUGCCACUUCGGAUUUCGGGUAAAG
rnacentral:lncRNA from 1 species